rnacentral:rRNA from 1 species
UACGUAGGGUGCGAGCGUUAAUCGGAAUUACUGGGCGUAAAGCGUGCGCAGGCGGUUCGUUAAGUUCGUUGUGAAAGCCCCGGGCUCAACCUGGGAACUGCAAUGGAAACUGGCGAGCUUGAGUGUGGCAGAGGGGGGUGGAAUUCCUGGUGUAGCGGUGAAAUGCGCAGAUAUCAGGAGGAACACCGAUGGCGAAGGCAGGUCUCUGGGCAUUAACUGACGCUGAGGAGCGAAAGCAUGGGGAGCGAACAGG